GCCUUUCGGGUUCUCCCGGAUGUCUGCCAAGAGGCGUCGUGCAGGGAGGGGGAGAAAAGACUGGGAAAACGAUAUCUCGGAGGCCACAGCUGCUUUUAAAGGGUAUGCACCCUGAUUUCCAUGGCCACCUGGGACAAUGCCACGCCACUGAAGUCGCCAGCAAGGGACCCAUUCUUCAAUCCUGCUUCUGAGGCCCUGGGAAACCUGCUUCACCUCUCUCAGAUUUGGGGAUUGAAACGUAUUAAUAAAUUGAACGUUGUCUGUAUUUCGUUUGUGGGCCUUUUUGUAAAACAUUGAAUGUCCUUCUAAUUUUUCUAACAUAUAAAGAAAAGAGAUGUAAUUAGCUACCUUUCUGCUGGCUGUACAGGAAGCAUGGUGCCCGUAUCUGCUUCUGGUGAGGCCACAGGGAACUUUUAUUCAUGGCGAAAAGUGAAGGAGGAACUUACAUGUAACAUGACGAAAACAUGAGCCUCUUCUAAUUCAUUGCUUCCCAAUUUGAUAUGUAGUUUUACAGCAUCAGCUUCACUAUGAACUUAAAAAACCUGUGAAUUCUUGGACCCAACCUAUACCUUCUGAUAAACUCUGGGGAUGGGACCCUAGCUGAAGUUCAAGAACUGGAGGUCUUUUAAAGUCAUUAGCCAAAAACAAAACAAAACAAAAACAAACAAAAAAAAAUCAGUAAGAUGAAAAACAC
rnacentral:lncRNA from 1 species